CCUACGGGCGGCAGCAGUAGGGAAUAUUGCUCAAUGGGGGAAACCCUGAAGCAGCAACGCCGCGUGGAGGAUGAAGGUUCUCGGAUUGUAAACUCCUUUUGUUAGAGAAGAUAAUGACGGUAUCUAACGAAUAAGCACCGGCUAACUCCGUGCCAGCAGCCGCGGUAAUACGGAGGGUGCAAGCGUUACUCGGAAUCACUGGGCGUAAAGAGCGCGUAGGCGGGAUAGCAAGUCAGAUGUGAAAUCCUAUGGCUUAACCAUAGAACUGCAUUUGAAACUGUUAUUCUAGAGUAUGGGAGAGGUAGGUGGAAUUCUUGGUGUAGGGGUAAAAUGCGUAGAGAUCAAGAGGAAUACUCAUUGCGAAGGCGACCUGCUAGAACAUAACUGACGCUGAUGCGCGAAAGCGUGGGGAGCAAACAGGAUUAGAUACCCUAGUAGUC
rnacentral:rRNA from 1 species